ensembl:lncRNA
AACACUCAGUCCUGUCCAAGCAAAUGGACUCUUUCAAAGUUGGCAUCCUAAAGGACUCUUCUGGCCCAGUCAAUAAAUACAACAAAAAACAACCAGUUGAGUGGGAGGACUAGAGGUCAAUGGUACCACCAGACCUUAGUUGGUCUGGCAUCUUAUGAGCGAAGGGGAAUUCAUGGGAACUUCAUGCAAAAACAGCUUCCCAAGAAGUCUAUCAUUAGUGUUCUGAAUCUUUAUUUUAGGAUAAACAGCAAAAUUGCUUUUAUUUAAGAUUUUUCUUAAACACUGUAUUUAGUUAUUUGGACAUUCCAGUAAGACUGCUAUGAUUUGCAUUUAACAAAAGUGGUUUUACCUAUCUGUGUGCUUAUAUUUUGUGUGUGAAUUUGUAGAAAGGUUUUCAUUAUAAGGCUGUUUCUGGGAAAAGUCCCUUUUGUGACAAUCAUCAUGUAUGUUGAAGUGAAAUAGAUUUUCAACCAAGAGUCUAUGCUGCUAUUUACCAUUGUGUGGAAACUAAAUUGGUGCACAAGCAAAAAAAAAAUUUUUUUUAAGCAAAAAUUACUUUGGCUAUUACAUGAGCGACUUUUAAUAAGUGUAACUAAUUUCUCCCAUUGUUUUAUGUGGUUUGGUUUUUAUGUCUUUUAUUUAAUACCUCUGCUGUUUUAGCAUUGGACCAUAAAAGUAUAUUUGUUGGUUAACUUGAACUUCAACAGAGACAUUUUCCAGCCAUACAUAGGUGGGGUUACCAGUAGGUGGGAUAUCCAGGUGCAAAAUUAUCUUAAAUAAAAUAUACUUUCAAUACAUUUAAAUUGGUCUCUUAAAAGUUGUAUAUUGAAAUUUGCAUUUGUAAUUUGUGCUCAUACACACACAAAGUGGGGGGAAAGUGCCUAGUUCUCCCCUCUGAAUGAACUGUUAAAUGGCAUCAUGCUCUAAUAAGACUUUCCUUCCUUACUCUCCCACUGUAUUUUUUACAAAUGCUGAUCUUUCAUUUUCUUUCUUUCUUUCUUUCUUUCUUUCUUUCUUUCUUUCUUUCUUUCUUUCUUUCUUUCUUUCUUCCUUCCUCCAUCUUCUUCGCUCUAAGGUGUCUUUUCUUGGAUGGGCUUAGGUAUUCUGUUCUCAGUCAUCAUCCCCACUGUACUUGGGCUCAUUGUCCUUGGCCUCAUCAUAAUCCUAUUGUUUUGCUUAUUUAGAAGAAACAGGUCUAAAUCAGAAAAGGCAGUGUAUAAUGGUGACUCCGUGUACAAGUUUCGAGAGGAAAAGAUCACAAAAGUAUAGUUCGUCCUGUUUUCCACAGCUCGAGGAAAAAAAAAUGCUUUAUUCAAUUCCACUCCAGAACCUCCUCCAUAUAUCAUUAAUGUUUAUGUAGCUCAGAUUUAUGUCUUUUAUGCAUGUGUAUAUAUUCAUGAUAAACGAGGACUGCUAGUUUUGCCCAAUGGAUUUUUUCUGAGGUGGGACAAGUGGCCUUUAGGAGGUCUGAGAAAUGCAAACCUGCUCUGUACCAACAGGGCAGUAUCCCCACCCACCUCCAACUCAAACAACCCUCUCCUUCAUAUGAGUCCUCACCCUUGGAUGUCACGUGAUCUAGCCAGCCCUUUGAUGAUGCAGCCGCUCUGUGGAACGUUGCACAAAAAAAGGCCCUUGUUUCCAGACUUCAAGUGGGCCGACCUUUGAUUCCUCACUGCCGGAGCAAUCAUGAGACAACCGCCUAAGCACCUCCAAUUGAUCAGACAUUCAGCGUGCAGCAGAAUGCUCUUGCUUUGCUACAAAGUCUGCACUUUAGUCCGCAAAUUAUCACUAUUCAGAAUCCAGAGCAAAACUCAUCAAUUGGUAUUGAUAAGAGACUAAAAAAGAAAAUAUCUAGAUUACUAGAAACAUAAAAACUGCCAUGUCCAUGUAUAAAAUUUUGUUUUUUUGUAAACCUUCCCCUUGAAUGAAAUGUUUUUACAUUUUAUGAGGACUUGUGGGAAAUGUUUAAAAGCGUAAUUUGAGGGAACUGCAGGAAGUGCUUGGCGUGGUGUGUCUAGCGCUUGAUUUCCUUCAUACUGUAUGUUCUAGAAGAAUUUUCAGUAUUCAUGUGGCAUAUUCCAGUUCGUUGUGUCUGCAGCUUUUGUAUUAUAGGGCCUUUCAGAGCUUGUAAGGUUUGAGACUGGGGCUAGAACCUUUUUUUUUUUAGGUAUACCUUUUAGGUAUACUUUUUAUUGUCAUUAUUAUAUUUCCCCUAUUUAUGUGCAGGCACACUUUGUGGGAUAUAACAUAUCAAAUACAUCUCUACAAAAUUGUACUUUUUGUAUUUAUUUGCUGUGUAUUGUUUAGUGUUUUAGUGAUUAUGCAAAAAAAAACAUUCUGUGAUUUUUUUUAAUGCCUGUCUGAUUUAAUAAAAUUUGUUUAAUCACUGCUAUGAUUGCCUAGUUUCCUGAAUAAUUUUGUAAAAUUCGAACACAGUUGUCGUUUUUCAAAUGACUAUGUUAAAUAAUGAAACGUGACAACUAUGCAAAAGCCCUGGUGCAUAAAAUAUAAUCUUUGUGUGAUGCGAUGGUUUUAAAAAUAGGGAGUGAGACGCAGUAUGGCUUUGGUGUGAAGUCUGCUUUCAGAAGUUGUGUGCAAAUUAAACACCGAUUUCACCAUCAUGUUCAAUGAUCACAAUACGAGGAGCAAAGGGAUUUUUGGAUUGCAUUAUCAUGAAGACAUUAUCAUAAUAUAAAAGCGCAUUUAUUUAUAGCUAGUGAUCGAAGCACUCUUGCUCUCUGGCGCAUAAUUUCUUCUCAUUUGAACUCGCGCGCCCCUCACAGGCCUGGAGAAGCAACAAAACGCAAAAGUUUACUUCCGGGUUCCAGGUCA